rnacentral:tRNA from 1 species
UUUUCAGUAGCUCAGUGGUAGAGCGAGUGGCUGUUAACCACCAGGACGUUGGUUCGAACCCAACCUGAAGAG